rnacentral:rRNA from 1 species
ACAGCAGCAGCCGCGGUAAUACGAAGGGUGCGAGCGUUACUCGGAAUUACUGGGCGUAAAGCGUGCGUAGGUGGUGGUUUAAGUCCGUUGUGAAAGCCCUGGGCUCAACCUGGGAAUUGCAGUGGAUACUGGGUCACUAGAGUGAGGUAGAGGAUAGUGGAAUUUCCGGUGUAGCAGUGAAAUGCGUAGAGAUCGGAAGGAACAUCUGUGGCGAAGGCGACUAUCUGGGCCAACACUGACACUGAGGCACGAAAGCGUGGGGAGCAAACAGGAUUAGAGACCCGCGUAGUCCCUGUCUCUUAUAC